rnacentral:rRNA from 1 species
GACGAACGCUGGCGGCGUGCCUAAUACAUGCAAGUCGAACGCAGUGGGGACGGGUGCUUAACACGUGGGUAACCUCCCAUCAGAGGGCAUAACCCUUGGAAAAAGGUGCUAAACCGAUACUGAUGGAUGGACCCGCGGUGCAUUAGCGAGUCGGUGAGGUAACGGCUCACCAAGGCCACGAUGCAUAGCCGACCUGAGAGGGUGAUCGGCCACACUGGGACUGAGACACGGCCCAGACUCCUACGGGAGGCAGCAGUAGGGAAUCUUCGGCAAUGGACGAAAGUCUGACCGAGCAACGCCGCGUGAAUGAAGAAGGUUUUCGGAUCGUAAAACUCUGUUAGUAGAGAAGCGUUAUCUAACCAGAAAGCCACGGCUAACUACGUGCCAGCAGCCGCGGUAAUUC